rnacentral:misc_RNA from 1 species
CACCAACUGGCGACUAUUCCUUUGCUAAGUAUAACAAGUCUGUUGAUAUUGUCAGAUAUACCGAUGAAGAGUAUGAGAAGUAUUUGACUGAUCCUACAUGGACCAAGGAAGAAACAGAUCAAUUGUUUGACUUGUGUGAAAGAUUUGAUCUCCGCUUCAUUAUCAUAGCUGACAGGUUCUCAUUAUCUCGGACUGUGGAAGAAUUGAAGGACCAUGGAUAGUGCACGUUUACGAU